CCUACGGGUGGCAGCAGUGGGGAAUAUUGCACAAUGGGGGAAACCCUGAUGCAGCGACGCCGCGUGAGUGAAGAAGUAUUUCGGUAUGUAAAGCUCUAUCAGCAGGGAAGAAAAUGACGGUACCUGAUUAAGAAGCCCCGGCUAACUACGUGCCAGCAGCCGCGGUAAUACGUAGGGGGCAAGCGUUAUCCGGAUUUACUGGGUGUAAAGGGAGCGUAGACGGCAGCACAAGUCUGGAGUGAAAUGCCGGGGCUUAACCCCGGAACUGCUUUGGAAACUGGGCAGCUAGAGUGCAGGAGGGGUUAGGGGAAUUCCUAGUUGAGCGGUGAAAUGCGGAGGUAUUAGGAGGAACACCAGUGGCGAAGGCCGCUUAAUGGACUGUAACUGACGUUGAGGCUCGAAAGCGGGGGGAGCAAACAGGAUUAGAUACCCUGGUAGUC
rnacentral:rRNA from 1 species